AUUAUUUAAUUACAUGUAAAAUUUUAAUUUCUUAAAGAAUUUAUUCGAGUCCUUUAGAUUAGUCGUUUCAUUAGAAUCCACUGCAUUGUGUUUUCUUGUGAAAACGGUGAAGGAAGUUUUAAAUUCUCUAGUGUUUUUAAAUGUGAAAAAAUUCAUCCAAUAUGCACACCGUGAUUGUAUGCACUUUCAACGUACACGGGCAGCCUUAAGAUGUCAUGCAGAAACACGACAGUUAACUUUAAAGCGAUUAAAUUCUAUUCUAUCAUUUAUUUUAUUCUAUCAACGUAAUGAAACGAAGCAAGAAAUUUGAUUACCAGAUAUCGGAACUUUCGGUUCUUUUGUAUCUAAACGUCAACGUGUAUCUAAAAAUAUAAUGGCAGUAAAAUACUAAGCUUGGAUUAAACAUCCAUCAAGUUAAAAUAUUUAUUUUUCUCUUUUCAUUAGAAAAUUAAAACAGAUAGAAUCUAAUAUCAUUAUUUUUAUUCUUCUUCUGUGAUUAUAGUAAACAAGAAUUUGAAGAAAGUUGUGAAUAUUAUAAUUAGUUGAAAUAUUAUAUAAAUAUUAUAUUUAAAAUAUUAUAUUUAGUUGAAAAUGAUUUCAAGCGUAUCAAAAGAACAUUAACAUUAACAUAUCACGUAACAGGAUGAACAAGAUAAAAUGAUAAUCUCGAUAAUCUAACUACGGAUGAUGCGGAUACACAUGUUUCGAGAUGAUAUUUUAACAAUUGAAAGUUAAGAUGGAAAUAGAUUAUAUUUGAAUUCAAUGGCUCAAUUUAGGAUCUACAAUUUUACCACAUAGUAUCAUUGAAAAUUUUGAAGUUGUGUGUGAUCGUUCUUUAUUGAAGGAUAAUAUGAUAUCUAUUUAUAUUUUUAUAUUUUUAUAUUUAAUAUAUUUUUAUAUAUUCAAUGAUAGGCAAUGAUAGAUAUAUAAUAUAUAUAUAAACGGA